CACGUAGGGGGCAAGCGUUGUCCGGAUUUAUUGGGCGUAAAGAGCGUGUAGGCGGCUCGGUAAGUCCGCUGUGAAAGUCCAGGGCUCAACCCUGGAAUGCCGGUGGAAACUGUCGAGCUCGUGUCCGGAAGAGGCGAGUGGAAUUCCUGGUGUAGCGGUGAAAUGCGCAGAUAUCAGGAAGAACACCGGUGGCGAAGGCGGGUCUCUGGGAAGUAACUGACGCUGAGAAGCGAAAGCAUGGGUAGCAAACAGG
rnacentral:rRNA from 1 species